CAUCACUACGCUAGAUGCAUAUCAAUAAGCGGAGGAAAAGAAACUAACAAGGAUUCCCCUAGUAACGGCGAGUGAAGCGGGAAGAGCUCAAAUUUGAAAUCUUAAAGGGUUUCCCUUUACGAAUUGUAGUUUAAAGAAGUGUUUUCUGUUGGAGUUUCGGUAAAAGUUCUUUGGAAUAGGACAUCAUAGAGGGUGAGAAUCCCGUAUUUGACCGUUACUUUCCAGCUGUGUGAUACACUUUCAAAGAGUCGGAUUGUUUGGGAAUGCAGUCCAAGAUGGGUGGUAAAUUUCAUCUAAAGCUAGAUAUUGGCGAGAGACCGAUAGCGAACAAGUACCGUGAGGGAAAGAUGAAAAGAACUUAGAAAAGAGAGUUAAACAGUACGUGAAAUUGUCAAAAGGGAAGCGUUUGACACCAGUGUUGUUUAGUUGAAAAUCAAUUCAAUAAUUUUUGAUUCUAAGUAGUAUUGACUUCAUCAGCUUGCUGCUUUCUUCUCAGGAAUUAUUGAAUGCACUUUUCAGUUAACAAGUCAACAUCAAUUUCUUUUGUUGUAAAAGGGUAAGAGGAAGGUGGCUUACGCUUCGGCGUCAAGUGUUUAUAGCCUUUUAUCCUCUGCAAUCGGAGAGAUUGAGGUACUAGCAGCGUAGAUCCUUCGGGGUUAGAUACAUUGGUGCUAAGCUAUAGCCUUGUAUAGACAACUUGUUGACUAUGCUCAGUCAUGUAGCUUACUCGCUGAUGCUAUUUUACCUACGCUUAGGAUGUUGAUAUGCAUGACUGAUAU
rnacentral:rRNA from 1 species